rnacentral:rRNA from 1 species
UACGUAGGGACCAAGCGUUGUUCGGAUUUACUGGGCGUAAAGGGCGCGUAGGCGGCGCGGUAAGUCACUUGUGAAAUCUCUGAGCUUAACUCAGAACGGCCAAGUGAUACUGCAGUGCUAGAGUGUGGAAGGGGCAAUCGGGAAUUCUUGGUGUAGCGGUGAAAUGCGUAGAUAUCGAGAGGAACACCUGCGGCGAAGGCGGGUUGCUGGGCUGACACUGACGCUGAGACGCGAAAGCGUGGGGAGCAAACAGG